GUCUUCGUAGCUUAGUCGGUAGAACACCCGAUUAUGGUACGGUAGAACGCGGGUUCGAGCCGUGCUGAACGCA